AGGCUUGCUUUCAAGAUACUCCACUAGGAUCUCUUGCUAAUGAGGUGCAGCCUUUCCUAUCCACAGUUAGAGAUGCAGUGCUGCCUACCAAUGGAAGAUUGUGUGUGCCUGAUACUUGCUUCCUGCAAUUUGUGGGGCAGAAUAAAAUUUUGGCUGUGCAUGCAUCCAAAGGUCUGUCCUAAGAUUUCUGUUGUAAUCGCCGCCACACCCGUUGUCAGCGCCCAGCAAGGGCUUAUUGUAGGUGGAUAGUCAGGGUUUGG